rnacentral:lncRNA from 1 species
AGGAUAUUCGAGCUCAAUAAGACAAGAAAGCCCUAAAGUUAGACCGGGUUCGAAUUGAUUAAUUGCUCGGUGUCUAAGGCAAGUGGUUUAAGAAGGUGGUUUUUAAUUGGUUCCGUUGUCUAACCUGGCCAACUCAGUUGGUGUCUAAGGAAAGCAACAAGCAGGGAACCUCCCACAUCUUACACUUACCUGGCCGAGAUAGUUAGUCAGUUUUGGGCUUGGAGUGCUUGAAGGCGAUCUUGGAACAGUUAGGAGCUGUCUAGAUCUAGGUUAAUCCUAGGAUAGAAAGUCUAUUUUGUGCUAACUUGUUUGCCAUUAAAAUUUAAACCUAAUUAAAACACUCUUCUCUUUCAUCUCUAGAUUUAGGACUCCUUAGGACUCAUCUCUAGAACUCUUUUCUCUCUCUUUCCACUUCUCUCUUCUCUUAAAAAAAAA